GCUAUAUAGAAAUGUAAACUAGUUUGAUUGUAAUAGUUGUACAAUUUCACAAUACUAUACUACAGACGGCUGAAUUGGAAUAAUGCCUCAAAAGACUUCACUGUGGAUAGGUAAAUGAAGAGUUUGAAAUGAAUUCUUAUAUCCGAUUCACAAGUCAAGCCUGUUGGUCCGAUUGUAAGUUGCCAACAUUUUGGUAGUUUGACCUCACAUUCUCCAGCAAUGUAAUGUAGUAGAAAUCCUCCAUGUGUUGCAUUAGCGCACUUCCAUCUCUAAUUGAACGGAAUAUAUUAAUUUCUG
rnacentral:misc_RNA from 1 species